UCCAACCGCUCCAUAUCUUGUAGGCAUCCCGUGCGCGGCCGCCGCCGCCGCCGCUCCCCUGCGCGGCCCACCGAUGCAGCCGCUCCCCUGCGCCGCCCGCCGCCAUUCCCCUGCGCCACGCGCCACAGUUUCCCUGCGUCGUCCGCCGCCGGUUACACAUGCGCCGCCUCCUGCCAGCACUAGCGCUUUUCACCUCCCUCCGUUUCAAUUCCCAUGCUCCGCCACUCAAACACGCAUCUACCCACUGGCGUGUUCCCAGCAAUCGCCAUGGCUCUUUGAUGCAUCUGGUGGAGUUCCGAUGCUGCAGUGACCUCAUGCUUUCUCCUCCAACCCAGCUGCCGGCCUCUGCAUUUCACUGUUGCUAGAUCCAUCACUGGUUUGGUACAGUUAUGCCUAGUCUAUAGAUCUUGCUUUUUUUCAUUGACGAUGGAGAUUCAGGGAAGAGGGGAGCGGCAUAGUCAAUCUUUCAGCGAGCACAUCAGGUUCAUAUUUUUUAUCUUGUUUAUUUAUUAUCAGAUCAAGGACUAGAUCCUAUUUCGUACUUGCAAGUUGCAGCGAAGACUACUUCUAACUACCUAAUACAUGUCUUUGUUUCAUUUAUAGACACAAAUGGACUCUUGAUUAUUACCUCAUACUGUAGUUUUUUUUUCUUUCUUAUCAAACAUCAUGUGUAAUAUAGGCAAGACAAGAAGUUUUUUCUUGCGGCACAUAGUGAAUGAAUAGCGUUGCCUCUUGGUUAUGAUAAGAUAUUCAGAUAACAAUAGUCGUCAUUACUAUCUUAUAUGCAGAAUGCAUAAUUUUUAUACAAUUUUUUGUUAGAUGUUCCAUAUUUGAGUUUUUUUCUUGCCCAAUAAAAUUUCCAUGUCAUGCAGAGGUGUUUCCUGUUUGCAGUUGAGCAUUGGUUGCAUGCAAAUGACAUGAGAUGUUGCAUCUGAAUCCCUUCCGUGGUAGCUCAUUUCAUACUUGGCAUGAGAUGCAGUGGAGGGAAGAACUCCUUCCCUGUGGGGCUUUUCUUUUCAAUUUUGUUAUGUCAUCCAUAUUGAGUUGUUUGACAAUCAAAUAUUUGAGCUUUCAUGGCCUCGUAGUUCCAAGAAGUUCCUAAACUAAUGGCAGGUAAUCGUUUACUUUUGAAACUGAAAGACAGGAUAUUUGGGAGUGCUUGAUGAGCUCCAUCAUAAGCUUUUUGGAUAAGUGACCAAAGUAUCAGAAGCUGCAGGCGAUAUGAUCACGAAGUCCAUACAGAAAAUCUGCUGAAUGAAGCAAUGUGGAGAAGUGAAAUACAAGUAUCUGCAUACAUGAAAUGUUUUUGAUAGAUUCUAAAUCUAUAAAUUUUAGGGCAGUAUAUAUGUGAGAUCAUCAUAUUGUAUAUGGAUGAUUGAUUGGUUUGUUGAGAGGAGCUUUAAUAUUAAAUGAAUACUUGCUCAGGCCA